UGACUCUACUUUACUGUGCACUGAAGCCUCUGUUAUCCGUUAUUUUGCGCAAUUUAACUGUACUAUGUGUGAUCUUUCUUGUAUAACAAAUACAUAUACGGAUGUGUGUGGGUAUCAAACGUGCAUACGCAGACGUCAUUUAACAGGAACGCGUGCACGAGGGUUAGACGUGUGCGCUCCCUUGGAGCGCAGUUCCGUCUGCUGCCAACUCACGGUAUAUCGACGAUGCAACGUUCCGGCUGUGCCUUUCGUAACCUUUUUCCCCCCUUACUUCGAAGACUUUUCCAGAAGAAAAUUACACUAUAAAUUCCCUUCGAGAAUUUAUGCGCCUAUCUGAUUCGAAUAAUGUCCAUCUUGCAAAAUUAAUAAUGACUGGUCAAAGAUAAUAACUGAGGCUGAAAGUAUUAGAAUUUUUUAUCGACUUUGUAUCUAUUAUAAACGAUGCUAGGUGAUAAAGUGGAACGAGUUAUUUGUCUCAACAAUUUAUUAGCGAUCUCCUUCGCUCAAUUGAACAGUGGACAAAACAAAGAUCAACGACGCUGAUUCACACGAUCAAGGAAAAAGUAAAUGCUCGUUUAUCUUAACAACAGAGGCGCUUCCUGCAUGUCGAGAUAACGACUAAUUGUCAUGCAAAUUAGAAAUGCUGAUUUAGUAGUAAAACAAAUCAUCCUUUAUAAGAAUACUAAAGAGAUCGCAGAUUCGCGUGGGAGUCACGUGAUUAACAGUUAUACACGCAAUUCCAUGACGAUAUAAUCUUUAGAAUGCCGCAUCAAAGAAUUAUGUAAUCAUUAAUCGCGCUUCACUUCAUUUUACGACUAAUUUUGUAAAUCUUAAUGGCAUUGGCGUAACUAGCAAUUUUACCUAGAUCUACUCGAGAAAUGACAUUAAUUACGUUGAAGUCACAAAACGAAACUUGGAAAGUAUUAUUGCACCUGUUCUCGAGUCUAUUUAUUACGGCCCAAUUAUCAAGCACGUAAAUUGGACAGCAGUUUUCACAAAUGUCCAGUGACAGGGAAGGGAGGUCAUCAGAGCGGGCCAUUGCGAUUUUCGCAAUGAGGCAACUUUCUAAGAUACCCGAUCGUUAUCUGCAACUGGAAGUGUCGCUAGAGUCAUCGAAGGGAAACGGAACAUAGCCGACGAGAUAUCCAUUUCGUACACGGAUUACGAUCUACCUGGUGUCUUCGCGACCACAAUUCUUCCGCGCAACCGUUCACACGCGAUCAACCGUGUGAUGAAGCGGAAGAAGGGGCGAUUAAGGUCGCGAGCACAGUUGAAAGAAGGGGCAGCAGGACGAAUUGUGGAACAGAAGGGACGAAAGGUGGGCAUAGGAGAGGAGAAGCGGGCAGCAGGUGCGUGAGAAAGCUUUUGAAUACCCACAUUGUCCAGUGUACAAAUGCACCGUGCAACAGAGGAUGGACAGGAUCUUCAGAAUGUUCUGUCUCAUGGCGAUCCAAGGA